rnacentral:RNase_P_RNA from 1 species
UUUGCUGUGCGAGACGAUCGCGCGGUCUGCGUCGGCGGGCCGUGAGGAAAGUCCGGGCUUCACAGGGCAGGGUGCCGGAUAACGUCCGGUGGGGGUGACCCCAAGGAAAGUGCAACAGAAAAGAAACCACCGGGCAGAAAUCUGCCCGGAAAGGGUGGAAUGGCGGUGUAAGAGACCACCGGCGGCCCGGUAACGGGUCCGCGCUGUGUAAACCCCACUCGAAGCAAGACCAAACAGGAGACUGUGCGGCGGCCCGUCGCGUCUCCGGGUAGGUUGCGUUCUGUCGUCGCAAGGCGGCAGAGGAGCUGUUCGGUAACGGACAGUCAAGAAAGAUGAUCGUUUAAUACAGAACCCGGCUUAUUGCACGGCAAAGAGC